UCAAUGCAUAUGCGGCCCGUACCAAAACCGACACAGGUGGGCAGGGAGAGAAUCCCGAGGUGAGCGAGAGGACUGUUGCCAAGGAACUCGGCAAAAUGACUCCGUAAGUUAGCGAGAAGGAGUGCUUAAGCAAUUAAGCCGCAGUGAAGAGGCCCAAGCGACUGUUUAACUAAAACACAGCUCUCUGCGAAGUCGCAAGACGAAGUAUAGGGGGUGACACCUGCCCGGUGCUGGAAGGUUAAGAGGAUCUGUUAAGAGCGAUCUGAAGCAGUGAUCCGAAGCCCCAGUGAACGGCGGCCGUAACAAUAACGGUCCUAAGGUAGCGAAAUUCCUUGUCAGGUAAGAUCUGACCCGCACGAAAGGUGUAACGAUUUGGGCGCUGUCUCGGCAGCAGACUCGGUGAAAUCUUAGUACCUGUGAAAAUGCAGGUUACCCGCAACUAGACGGAAAGACCCCAUGGAGCUUUACUGCAGCCUGAUAUUGAAUUCUGGUCAUACAUGUACAGGAUAGGUGGGAGACAAAGAGACGUGCACGCCAGUGUACGAGGAGUCGACGUUGGGAUACCACUCUUGUGUGACUGGGGUUCUAACCUGGUAUCGAGAACAGGUACGGGAAGAGUGUCAGGUGGGCAGUUUGACUGGGGCGGUCGCCUCCCAAAGAGUAACGGAGGCGCCCAAAGGUACGCUCAGAUUGGAUGGAAACCAAUCGUCGAGUGCAAUUGCAGAAGCGUGCUUGACUGUGAGACAGACAAGUCGAACAGGGACGAAAGUCGGGAAUAGUGAUCCGGCGGUGCCGAAUGGAAGGGCCGUCGCUCAACGGAUAAAAGCUACCCUGGGGAUAACAGGCUGAUCUCGCCCAAGAGUUCACAUCGACGGCGAGGUUUGGCACCUCGAUGUCGGCUCAUCGCAUCCUGGAGCUGGAUUCGGUUCCAAGGGUUGGGCUGUCCGCCCAUUAAAGCGGUACGCGAGCUGGGUUCAGAACGUCGUGAGACAGUUCGGUCCCUAUCUGUUGUGGGCGAAGGAGAUCUGCGGAGAGCUGUCCUCAGUACGAGAGGACCGGGAUGGACCUACCGCUGGUGCACCGGUUGUUCCGCCAGGGGCAUAGCCGGGUAGCUAAGUAGGGAAAGGAUAAGCGCUGAAAGCAUCUAAGCACGAAGCCUACUCCAAGAUGAGAUCUCCCAUUCGCAAGAAGUAAGACCCCUUAAAGACGAUAAGGUAGAUAGGCCAGGGAUGGAAGUGCAGUGAUGUACGGAGUUGACUGGUACUAAUCGGUCGAGGACUUAAUU
rnacentral:rRNA from 1 species